GUGCUCGCUUAAAUUCAGCAGCACAUAUACUAAAAUUGGAAUAAUACAGAGAAGACUAGCAUGGCCCGUUCACAAGAAUGGCGCUCAAAUUCAUGAAGUGUUUCAUAUUUUU
ensembl:snRNA U6 U6 spliceosomal RNA